rnacentral:tRNA from 1 species
UUUAGGGUGGCAGAUAAUAUGCGCUGGAUUUAAGCUCCAGAAAUGAGUUUUACUCCCUUA